rnacentral:rRNA from 1 species
CAGGUAGGACUACCAUAAG